rnacentral:rRNA from 1 species
GACGAACCGUGCGAACGUUGUUCGGAAUCACUGGGCUUAAAGGGCGCGUAGGCGGUCGAUCAAGUCCGGGGUGAAAUCCUGCAGCUUAACUGUAGAAGUGCCUUGGAUACUGAUCGGCUCGAGGGAGGUAGGGGUCUGUGGAACUUCUGGUGGAGCGGUGAAAUGCGUAGAUAUUGGGAGGAACACCAGUGGCGAAGGCGGCUCACUGGACCGGUUCUGACGCUGAGGCGCGAAAGCGUGGGGAGCAAACGGG